rnacentral:tRNA from 1 species
GGAGAGGUGACCGAGUGGUUGAUGGUGCCGCUCUCGAAAAGCGGUAGGCAAGAAUGCCUCGUGGGUUCGAAUCCCACCCUCUCCGCCA